AUACGUAGGGUGCAAGCGUUAAUCGGAAUUACUGGGCGUAAAGCGUGCGCAGGCGAUUUUGUAAGACAGUGGUGAAAUCCCCGGGCUCAACCUGGGAACUGCCAUUGUGACUGCAAGGCUGGAGUGCGGCAGAGGGGGAUGGAAUUCCGCGUGUAGCAGUGAAAUGCGUAGAUAUGCGGAGGAACACCGAUGGCGAAGGCAAUCCCCUGGGCCUGCACUGACGCUCAUGCACGAAAGCGUGGGGAGCAAACAGGAUUAGAUACCCUGGUAGUCCACGCCCUAAACGAUGUCAACUGGUUGUUGGGGAUUUAUUUUCUCAGUAACGAAGCUAACGCGUGAAGUUGACCGCCUGGGGAGUACGGCCGCAAGGUUAAAACUCAAAUGAAUCGACGGGG
rnacentral:rRNA from 1 species